UACAGAGGUCUCGAGCGUUUAGGCGAAAUCACUGGGCUUAAAGCGUGUGUAGGCGGAUCGUUAAGUACCUUGUGAAAUCCCACGGCUUAACCGUGGAACUGCUUGGUAUACUGGCGGUCUUGAGCCAGCUAGGGGCUACCGGAACAAAUGGUGGAGCGGUGAAAUGCGUAGAUAUCAGGAGGAACACCGGUGGCGAAGGCGGGUCUCUGGGCAGUAACUGACGCUGAGGAGCGAAAGCGUGGGGAGCGAACAGG
rnacentral:rRNA from 1 species